GCUGUGUCUGUCGCUGCAGUUGUGGUCUGGGUUCUAAUGGCAUGAAGACACAUUUCGGGAUGGGAGUCGGUGGUAGAUUCAGCCGUUGCAAGAAUUGAGGGAUUUCCUCGGGCCAUCUGGCUGAGACCCAUUCAUUAUUAUGGCGGACCGCAAUGCUAAAUGGGUAACCCCAUCUAUACUGCAUGUUUUUCUCUCGUAGGAUGGUGGCCCGUCUGGCUUCCAAG